GACGAACGCUGGCGGCGUGCCUAAUACAUGCAAGUUGAGCGCUGAAGGUUGGUACUUGUACCAACUGGAUGAGCAGCGAACGGGUGAGUAACGCGUGGGGAAUCUGCCUUUGAGCGGGGGACAACAUUUGGAAACGAAUGCUAAUACCGCAUAAAAACUUUAAACACAAGUUUUAAGUUUGAAAGAUGCAAUUGCAUCACUCAAAGAUGAUCCCGCGUUGUAUUAGCUAGUUGGUGAGGUAAAGGCUCACCAAGGCGAUGAUACAUAGCCGACCUGAGAGGGUGAUCGGCCACAUUGGGACUGAGAAACGGCCCAAACCCCUACGGGAGGCAGCAGUAGGGAAUCUUCGGCAAUGGACGAAAGUCUGAACGGGCAACGCCGCGUGAGUGAAGAAGGUUUUCGGAUCGUAAAACUCUGUUGGUAGAGAAGAACGUUGGUGAGAGUGGAAAGCUCAUCAAGUGACGGUAACUACCCAGAAAGGGACGGCUAACUACGUG
rnacentral:rRNA from 1 species